rnacentral:rRNA from 1 species
UUGGAGGGCAAGUCUGGUGCCAGCAGCCGCGGUAAUUCCAGCUCCAAUAGCGUAUAUUAAAGUUGUUGCAGUUAAAAAGCUCGUAGUUGAAUUUCGGGGUCUAUCCGUUGGUCGGGCUUUUGGGUCCGUACUGGCGUUAUGGAUUCCUACCUUCUGAAUAACCGGUAUGCCAUUAAUUUGGUGUGUUGGGGAAGCAGGACUGUUACCUUGAAAAAAUUAGAGUGCUUAAAGCAGGCUAUCGCCUGAAUACAUUAGCAUGGAAUAAUGAAAUAGGACGGCAUGGUUCUAUUUUGUUGGUUUCUAGGAUCACCGUAAUGAUUAAUAGGGAUAGUUGGGGGCAUUAGUAUUCAAUUGUCAGAGGUGAAAUUCUUGGAUUUAUUGAAGACUAACUUCUGCGAAAGCAUUUGCCAAGGAUGUUUUCAUUAAUCAAGAACGAAAGUUAGGGGAUCGAAGACGAUCAGAUACCGUCGUAGUCUUAACCAUAAACUAUGCCGACUAGGGAUCGGACGAUGUUAAUUUUUUAAUGACUCGUUCGGCGCCUUACGGGAAU